AGCAAAAUGAUGAGUUGAUGAUUCUGAAUUUUUAUGUUGAAAAAUUUAGUAUAAUGGUCUUCAAAGUUCUCUGAUUGCU